GAUGAACGCUGGCGGCGUGCCUAAUACAUGCAAGUCGAGCGAACAGACGAGGAGCUUGCUCCUCUGACGUUAGCGGCGGACGGGUGAGUAACACGUGGAUAACCUACCUAUAAGACUGGGAUAACUUCGGGAAACCGGAGCUAAUACCGGAUAAUAUAUUGAACCGCGUGGUUCAAUAGUGAAAGACGGUUUUGCUGUCACUUAUAGAUGGAUCCGCGCCGCAUUAGCUAGUUGGUAAGGUAACGGCUUACCAAGGCAACGAUGCGUAGCCGACCUGAGAGGGUGAUCGGCCACACUGGAACUGAGACACGGUCCAGACUCCUACGGGAGGCAGCAGUAGGGAAUCUUCCGCAAUGGGCGAAAGCCUGACGGAGCCACGCCGCGUGAGUGAUGAAGGUCUUCGGAUCGUAAAACUCUGUUAUUAGGGAAGAACAAAUGUGUAAGAAACUAUGCACGUCUUGACGGUACCUAAUCAGAAAGCCACGGCUAACUACGUG
rnacentral:rRNA from 1 species